rnacentral:rRNA from 1 species
CUACGGGGGGCAGCAGUGGGGAAUAUUGCACAAUGGGCGCAAGCCUGAUGCAGCCAUGCCGCGUGUAUGAAGAAGGCCUUCGGGUUGUAAAGUACUUUCAGCAGUGAGGAAGGUGGUUAAGUUAAUAGCUUAAUCAUUUGACGUUAGCUGCAGAAGAAGCACCGGCUAACUCCGUGCCAGCAGCCGCGGUAAUACGGAGGGUGCAAUCGUUAAUCGGAAUUACUGGGCGUAAAGCGCACGCAGGCGGUUUGUUAAGUCAGAUGUGAAAUCCCCGGGCUCAACCUGGGAACUGCAUCUGAUACUGGCAAGCUUGAGUCUCGUAGAGGGGGGUAGAAUUCCAGGUGUAGCGGUGAAAUGCGUAGAGAUCUGGAGGAAUACCGGUGGCGAAGGCGGCCCCUGGACGAAGACUGACGCUCAGGUGCGAAAGCGUGGGGAGCAAACAGGAUUAGAUACCCCAGUAGUC